rnacentral:misc_RNA from 1 species
GGCUAUUCUCAACGUAUCCUUGUGCACCAAAAUCCCACCAAAAUCCCCUUUCUCCCUCUCCUCCACCAAACCUCUCUUCCCUUCUCUCUCUCGUUCUUCUAUCAAAUCCCAAGUUGUUCUAAGCAAGCAUCUAGCUGAAGAUUUAGCUAAAACAAGCCUGCUUGCUGCCCUUUCUGCUUCCCUCUUCUUGAUUGACCCCGCACUUGCAUUUAAGGGGGGAGGCCCUUAUGGUGCUGAAGUGACGAGGGGCCAAGAUCUCACAGGCAGGGAUUUUAGUGGAAAGACUUUAAUUAAAGAAGAUUUUAAGACGUCCAUAUUACGAAAAGCAAAUUUCAAAGGGGCAAAGUUGUUGGGAGCUAGUUUCUUUGAUGCUGAUUUAACAGGCGCUGAUCUUUCAGAUGCUGAUCUUAGAGGUGCAGAUUUUUCAUUGGCAAAUGUGACAAAGGCAAAUUUGAGCAAUGCUAACUUAGAAGGCGCACUUGCUACUGGAAACACAUCUUUUAGGGGUUCAAACAUAACUGGAG